CCGGCGACCGGCGCACGGGUGAGUAACACGUAUGGAACCUGCCCGCAGCAGGGGGAUAAGCGGAAGAAAUUCCGUCUAAUACCGCGUAACAACGUUGGGAGGCAUCUCCCGAUGUUUAAAGAUUUAUCGGCUGCGGAUGGCCAUGCGGCGCAUUAGCUAGUCGGCGGGGUAACGGCCCACCGAGGCGUCGAUGCGUAGGGGUUCUGAGAGGAAGGUCCCCCACACUGGUACUGAGACACGGACCAGACUCCUACGGAAGGCAGCAG
rnacentral:rRNA from 1 species